AACGAACGCUGGCGGCAUGCCUAACACAUGCAAGUCGAACGAGACCUUCGGGUCUAGUGGCGCACGGGUGCGUAACGCGUGGGAACCUGCCCUUAGGUUCGGAAUACCUCCCCGAAAGGGGUGCUAAUACCGGAUAAUGUCUUCGGACCAAAGAUUUAUCGCCUUUGGAUGGGCCCGCGUUGGAUUAGCUAGUUGGUAGUGUAAAAGCCUACCAAGGCGACGAUCCAUAGCUGGUCUGAGAGGAUGAUCAGCCACACUGGGACUGAGACACGGCCCAGAAUCCUACGGAAGGCAGCAGUGGGGAAUAUUGGACAAUGGGCGAAAGCCUGAUCCAGCAAUGCCGCGUGAGUGAUGAAGGCGUUAGGGUUGUAAAGCUCUUUUACCCGGGAUGAUAAUGACAGUACCGGGAGAAUAAGCUCCGGCUAACUCCGUG
rnacentral:rRNA from 1 species